CAGAGAUGCUUUGGUGCCUUCGGGAACUCUGAGACAGGUGCUGCAUGGCUGUCGUCAGCUCGUGUUGUGAAAUGUUGGGUUAAGUCCCGCAACGAGCGCAACCCUUAUCCUUUGUUGCCAGCGGCUCGGCCGGGAACUCAAAGGAGACUGCCGGUGAUAAACCGGAGGAAGGUGGGGAUGACGUCAAGUCAUCAUGGCCCUUACGGCCAGGGCUACACACGUGCUACAAUGGCGCAUACAAAGAGUUUUUUUUAAGCGACCUCGCGAGAGCAAGCGGACCUCACAAAGUGCGUCGUAGUCCGGAUUGGAGUCUGCAACUCGACUCCAUGAAGUCGGAAUCGCUAGUAAUCGUAGAUCAGAAUGCUACGGUGAAUACGUUCCCGGGCCUUGUACACACCGCCCGUCACACCAUGGGAGUGGGUUGCAAAAGAAGUAGGUAGCUUAACCUUCGGGAGGGCGCUUACCACUUUGUGAUUCAUGACUGGGGUGAAGUCGUAACAAGGUAAGCGUAGCGAG
rnacentral:rRNA from 1 species